UGCAGUCGACGGCAGCACGGACUUCGGUCUGGUGGCGAGUGGCGAACGGGUGAGUAAUGUAUCGGAACGUGCCCAGUAGCGGGGGAUAACUACGCGAAAGCGUAGCUAAUACCGCAUACGCCCUACGGGGGAAAGCAGGGGAUCGCAAGACCUUGCACUAUUGGAGCGGCCGAUAUCGGAUUAGCUAGUUGGUGGGGUAACGGCUCACCAAGGCGACGAUCCGUAGCUGGUUUGAGAGGACGACCAGCCACACUGGGACUGAGACACGGCCCAGACUCCUACGGGAGGCAGCAGUGGGGAAUUUUGGACAAUGGGGGAAACCCUGAUCCAGCCAUCCCGCGUGUGCGAUGAAGGCCUUCGGGUUGUAAAGCACUUUUGGCAGGAAAGAAACGUCGCGGGUUAAUACCCCGCGAAACUGACGGUACCUGCAGAAUAAGCACCGGCUAACUACGUGCCAGCAGCCGCGGUAAUACGUAGGGUGCAAGCGUUAAUCGGAAUUACUGGGCGUAAAGCGUGCGCAGGCGGUUCGGAAAGAAAGAUGUGAAAUCCCAGAGCUUAACUUUGGAACUGCAUUUUUAACUACCGGGCUAGAGUGUGUCAGAGGGAGGUGGAAUUCCGCGUGUAGCAGUGAAAUGCGUAGAUAUGCGGAGGAACACCGAUGGCGAAGGCAGCCUCCUGGGAUAACACUGACGCUCAUGCACGAAAGCGUGGGGAGCAAACAGAAUUAGAUACGGGGGUAGUCCA
rnacentral:rRNA from 1 species